GAUGAACGCUGGCGGCGUGCCUAAUACUUGCAAGUCGAGCGAACAGACGAGGAGCUUGCUCCUCUGACGUUAGCGGCGGACGGGUGAGUAACACGUGGAUAACCUACCUAUAAGACUGGGAUAACUUCGGGAAACCGGAGCUAAUACCGGAUAAUAUAUUGAACCGCAUGGUUCAAUAGUGAAAGACGGUUUUGCUGUCACUUAUAGAUGGAUCCGCGCCGCAUUAGCUAGUUGGUAAGGUAACGGCUUACCAAGGCGACGAUGCGUAGCCGACCUGAGAGGGUGAUCGGCCACACUGGAACUGAGACACGGUCCAGACUCCUACGGGAGGCAGCAGUAGGGAAUCUUCCGCAAUGGGCGAAAGCCUGACGGAGCAACGCCGCGUGAGUGAUGAAGGUCUUCGGAUCGUAAAACUCUGUUAUUAGGGAAGAACAAAUGUGUAAGUAACUAUGCACGUCCUGACGGUACCUAAUCAGAAAGCCACGGCUAACUACGUG
rnacentral:rRNA from 1 species